AAUUAUCUCACCGUCUUAUUGCUAUUCAGGUAUGUAGUUAACAUAGAAUUGAUAUUGGAUGGAUGUAUGGAGCUCAAAUGGUUGUGUCUACUGUGCAGGGAUGUGAUAAAUCACGAUGGUUGAUGCAUGGGAUGUUUAGAGCCAAUGAUGAGGCCCUGCCUUUUUUAUGCACAAGGGCUCAAAUGAUGAGGUUUUUGAUCCUAAAAAGACCUGGUAGUGACAAAGACAUUGAAGGUGAAAGCAUUUAUGGCCAAUGGAUGUCACUUGGAUUUUAAUCAAACCCCCUUGGAUUCAUUCUCCCUACAGACUUCUACACAAAAGUUGGUAAGGUCCGUUUUGUUUUUCUGAUAAUUCGAGAAUUUGAUUCCUAUUCUUAGUUAUUGUUGAAAUCAGUUACAUUCCUAUCUUAUAACAUAGUAUACUCACAUUGCUAAAUAUCUCAACACUCAUUGCACUCUACGUUUCACUUCACAUCAGUAUUUUGCAGAGCUCUGAUCACGUCAUAUGCAGCUGGUUGUUUAUAGGUAACCUCAUCUCUACAUUCCAAUGCCUCAUUGAUUAAUGUUUGUGCUUACUCCAUACAAAACCAUUUCAAUGAUUUCAAUUUACAGAACCAAAUAAUCACUCUUUCUUAUUGAUUGACAGUAUUACUUAUGUUUUCCAAUUACAACAGCUCAACUGAAAUUUCGGAGGACUUAUCAUUUGUUGCAAAUGACGAAUCAGACUUUUUACUUAAACACCUACUGUUGUUAGCAUAUAACAUAUAAUGUAGCAAUGUAAUAUAACAGUGUUUCUA